GGUUUACCUCAUUGGGUUA
rnacentral:snRNA from 1 species